rnacentral:rRNA from 1 species
CCUACGGGUGGCUGCAGUCGGGAAUAUUGCACAAUGGAGGAAACUCUGACGCAGUGACGCCGCGUAUAGGAAGAAGGUUUUCGGAUUGUAAACUACUGUCGUUGGGGAAGAUAAAAGUCUGUACCUAAGGCGGAAGCCCCGGCUAACUAUGUGCCAGCAGCAGCGGUAAUACAUAGGGGGCAAGCGUUAUCCGGAAUUAUUGGGUGUAAAGGGUACGUAGACGGAAGGACAAGUUGGUUGUGAAAUCCCUCGGCUCAACUGAGGAACUGCAACCAAAACUAUUCUCCUUGAGUGUUGGAGAGGAAAGUGGAAUUCCUGGUGUAGCGGUGAAAUGCGUAGAUAUUAGGAGGAACACCAGUGGCGAAGGCGACUCUCUGGACGAUAACUGACGUUGAGGCACGAAAGUGUGGGGAGCAAACAGGAUUAGAUACCCUUGUAGUC